rnacentral:rRNA from 1 species
GAUGAACGCUGGCGGCGUGCCUAAUACAUGCAAGUCGAGCGAACAGACGAGGAGCUUGCUCCUCUGAUGUUAGCGGCGGACGGGUGAGUAACACGUGGAUAACCUACCUAUAAGACUGGGAUAACUUCGGGAAACCGGAGCUAAUACCGGAUAACAUGUUGAACCGCAUGGUUCAACAGUGAAAGACGGUCUUGCUGUCACUUAUAGAUGGAUCCGCGCCGCAUUAGCUAGUUGGUAAGGUAACGGCUUACCAAGGCAACGAUGCGUAGCCGACCUGAGAGGGUGAUCGGCCACACUGGAACUGAGACACGGUCCAGACUCCUACGAGAGGCAGCAGUAGGGAAUCUGCCGCAAUGGGCGAAAGCCUGGCGGAGCAACGCCGCGUGAGUGAAGAAGGUCUUCGGAUCGUAAAGCUCUGUUAUUAGGGGAGAACAAAUGUGUAAGUAACUAUGCACGUCUUGACGGUACCGAAUCAGAAAGCCACGGCUAACUACGUG